CAUGUCCUUUUGAAAAUAAUUUAAGGUCUAAUCUGCUCAAUGAGGAGUUAAAUUGCCGCAGUAAUUUGACUGUGCGAAGGUAGCAUAAUAAUUAGUUUUUUAAUUGAAAGCUUGUAUGAAUGAUUGGACGAGAAAAUUACUGUCUCUUUUUAAUUAAGAUUGAAAUUAAUUUUUGAGUUAAAAAGCUUAAAUUUAGUUUAAAGACGAGAAGACCCUAUAGAGUUUUAUAUCAAUAAAUAAUAAAAUUAGUUAGAAUCUUUUUGUUUAUUAUUUUUGGAUAUUUAGUUGGGGUGACUUGGAGAUUUAAUAAACUCUCUAAAAUUUUAAAAUCAUUGAUUUAUGAAUUUUAAAUCUAGAAAAGUCUAAAUUUAAAAUAAAUUACCUUAGGGAUAACAGCGUAAUUUUCCUUUAGAGUUCUUAUUGGUUGGGAAGUUUGCGACCUCGAUGUUGGAUUAAAAUUAAUUAUUGGUGCAGAAGCUAAUAAGUUUGGUCUGUUCGACCAUUGAAAUUUUACAUGAUCUGAGU
rnacentral:rRNA from 1 species